UACGAAGGGGGCUAGCGUUGCUCGGAAUUACUGGGCGUAAAGCGCACGUAGGCGGUCUUUUAAGUCGGGGGUGAAAUCCUGGAGCUCAACUCCAGAACUGCCUUCGAUACUGGAAGACUUGAGUCCGGGAGAGGUGAGUGGAACUGCGAGUGUAGAGGUGAAAUUCGUAGAUAUUCGCAAGAACACCAGUGGCGAAGGCGGCUUGCUGGGCUACUCCGUGACACUGAGGUACGAAAGGCGUGGGGAGCGAACAGGAUAGAUACCCCUGAUAG
rnacentral:rRNA from 1 species